CAGGGAAUCUUCGGCAAUGGACGAAAGUCUGAUCGAGCAACGCCGCGUGAGUGAAGAAGGUUUUCGGAUCGUAAAACUCUGUUGUUAGAGAAGAACAAGGACGUUAGUAACUGAACGUCCCCCGACGGUAUCUAACCAGAAAGCCACGGCUAACUACGUGCCAGCAGCCGCGGUAAUACGUAAGUGGCAAGCGUUGUCCGGAUUUAUUGGGCGUAAAGCGAGCGCAGGCGGUUUCUUAAGUCUGAUGUGAAAGCCCCCGGCUCAACCGGGGAGGGUCAUUGGAAACUGGGAGGCUUGAGUGCAGAAGAGGAGGGUGGAAUUCCAUGUGUAGCGGUGAAAUGCGUAGAUAUAUGGAAGAACACCAGUGGCGAAGGCGGCUCUCUGGUCUGUAACUGACGCUGAGGCUCGAAAGCGUGGGGAGCAAACAGG
rnacentral:rRNA from 1 species